CCUCGCCCUGGCUAACCAAGAAGGGCGAGGGCGAGUAAGAAGAAUGAGCCGGGCAGAGCGCCGAGCAGCCAGCAGUCGCCACAGGGCCAACUCUCCCUCGCCACACUCCUCGUAACUCUUAAUUAGGGUGACGCGCAUGUGACUCCCCCAGCGUGGGUCGAGUGGGGUGUCUCCGCAUAACCUGAGGGCGAUGACGGGAUGUCGGGAUGCGAGGCUCUGAUCAGGAUGGCACGGGGAGGACGACAGGAGGGGAAGGUGUGUUGUGUGUGGAGACGGACGGAGGACCUGCGGCACGCCAACCUCCAGGGGAGUCAAGAAAUCUGGACCGCAAUACCCAAUGCUGCUCGGGAGGAAUUUGAAUAGAGAGGAAAAAAACGAAGAAGAGGAGGAGUAGGAGGAGUAGGAGGAAGAGGAAGAGGAAGAGGGGACACUGUGACGUUUCUCCACUUGCGUGACUUCAGCCGUAUCAUCUCCUUUCCCU